GAUGAACGCUGGCGGCGUGCCUAAUACAUGCAAGUCGAGCGAACGGACGAGAAGCUUGCUUCUCUGAUGUUAGCGGCGGACGGGUGAGUAACACGUGGAUAACCUACCUAUAAGACUGGGAUAACUUCGGGAAACCGGAGCUAAUACCGGAUAAUAUUUUGAACCGCAUGGUUCAAAAGUGAAAGACGGUCUUGCUGUCACUUAUAGAUGGAUCCGCGCUGCAUUAGCUAGUUGGUAAGGUAACGGCUUACCAAGGCAACGAUGCAUAGCCGACCUGAGAGGGUGAUCGGCCACACUGGAACUGAGACACGGUCCAGACUCCUACGGGAGGCAGCAGUAGGGAAUCUUCCGCAAUGGGCGAAAGCCUGACGGAGCAACGCCGCGUGAGUGAUGAAGGUCUUCGGAUCGUAAAACUCUGUUAUUAGGGAAGAACAUAUGUGUAAGUAACUGUGCACAUCUUGACGGUACCUAAUCAGAAAGCCACGGCUAACUACGUGCCAGCAGCCGCGGUAAUACGUAGGUGGCAAGCGUUAUCCGGAAUUAUUGGGCGUAAAGCGCGCGUAGCGGUUUUUUAAGUCUGAUGUGAAAGCCCACGGCUCAACCGUGGAGGGUCAUUGGAAACUGGAAAACUUGAGUGCAGAAGAGGAAAGUGGAAUUCCAUGCGUAGCGGUGAAAUGCGCAGAGAUAUGGAGGAACACCAGUGGCGAAGGCGACUUUCUGGUCUGUAACUGACGCUGAUGUGCGAAAGCGUGGGGAUCAAACAGGAUUAGAUACCCUGGUAGUCCACGCCGUAAACGAUGAGUGCUAAGUGUUAGGGGGUUUCCGCCCCUUAGUGCUGCAGCUAACGCAUUAAGCACUCCGCCUGGGGAGUACGACCGCAAGGUUGAAACUCAAAGGAAUUGACGGGGACCCGCACAAGCGGUGGAGCAUGUGGUUUAAUUCGAAGCAACGCGAAGAACCUUACCAAAUCUUGACAUCCUUUGACAACUCUAGAGAUAGAGCCUUCCCCUUCGGGGGACAAAGUGACAGGUGGUGCAUGGUUGUCGUCAGCUCGUGUCGUGAGAUGUUGGGUUAAGUCCCGCAACGAGCGCAACCCUUAAGCUUAGUUGCCAUCAUUAAGUUGGGCACUCUAAGUUGACUGCCGGUGACAAACCGGAGGAAGGUGGGGAUGACGUCAAAUCAUCAUGCCCCUUAUGAUUUGGGCUACACACGUGCUACAAUGGACAAUACAAAGGGCAGCGAAACCGCGAGGUCAAGCAAAUCCCAUAAAGUUGUUCUCAGUUCGGAUUGUAGUCUGCAACUCGACUACAUGAAGCUGGAAUCGCUAGUAAUCGUAGAUCAGCAUGCUACGGUGAAUACUUUCCCGGGUUC
rnacentral:rRNA from 1 species